rnacentral:rRNA from 1 species
CCACCUUUUGAAACGCGUCAAAGCGUAACUUUAACACCCAAAAUACCAUUAAUUUUUAUGAACCCCUAAUUUAUAAUGAAUGACUCCAUAUUUAUAUGGAAGACACCAUGCUAGGAUUAGUAACAAGAAUUUAUAAUUCUCCAAAAUGCAAAUAUAAACCAACAUGGAUAGACCAUUGGUAGUUACCGAACCUAAAUUUAAUGCAAUAACAUCCACAAGAAAACUCUGCAGCACUCACUCGUUAACCUAACACCAGCGCAUUACAGGAAAGAUUCAAAAAAAGAGAAGGAAUUCGGCAAAUGACGGCCCCGCCUGUUUACCAAAAACAUCGCCUCUUGACUUAUAAUAAGAGGUCUAGCCUGCCCAGUGAAUUUUAAACGGCCGCGGUAUCCUAACCGCGCGAAGGUAGCAUAAUCACUUGUUCUUUAAAUGGGGACUCGUAUCAACGGCAUCACGAGGGUUUUACUGUCUCCUCUUUUUGAUCAGUGAAAUUGAUCUUCCCGUGAAGAAGCGGGAAUAUUUUUAUAAGACGAGAAGACCCCAUGGAGCUUUAAACCAAAUAACAACUUAACCACUUAUCCCAUAAUAAAUUUAACCCCUGUUAUAAGGUUUUUGGUUGGGGUGACCGCGGAGUAAAGCACAUCCUCCACGACGGAAAGAAUAAAAUCUUUAUUUAAGAACCACACUUCUAGAAAUUAGUAUACUAACGUUUACUGACCCGACAAUCGAUCAACGGACCAAGUUACCCUGGGGAUAACAGCGCAAUCUACUUCGAGAGCUCAUAUCGACAAGUAGGCUUACGACCUCGAUGUUGGAUCAGGGUAUCCCGGUGGUGCAGCCGCUACCGAAGGUUCGUUUGUUCAACGAUUAAAACCCUACGUGAUCU